GCGUCGCCUGUAUCUUAUGUAUACAUACAUAUACACGACAGAGAUGAAAGAAACUCAGCCGACUAAAAUUAUUAAGUCUUUAAAUCAUAGAUAUUAAAUUUCAUCUAAAUUUUAAUGAGUUCUUACAUGUUUUAAAAAGGCAGUUUUAAUUUAAAAAAAGGAAGGUUUUUACCUAAAAAUGUGAACAGUGUAUUGUUUCAAAACCAACUUCAACCAUAAUAAGGACAAUAAUCAUCCAUUCUAAACGGAUAUGAUGACGGUCGCUUAAAUGCGAAGAUAAAAUUCCAACAAGCUCCACACAAUGACUUAUUUUCUCAUUAAUAACCUGUAGUGUAAAAUUAGAUUAAAUACAUCUUCGAUAACAAUUAAAAAACUAGAAAUAUUCUUUAUCAACACCUAUUAACAACUUACUCUUGUACGUUUUGUAAUAUUGAAAUAUGAACAUGUGUGUUGAUACAAAA